rnacentral:rRNA from 1 species
UACGGAGGGUGCGAGCGUUAAUCGGAAUUACUGGGCGUAAAGCGCGCGUAGGCGGUCUGAUCAGCCGGUUGUGAAAGCCCCGGGCUCAACCUGGGAACGGCAUCCGGAACUGUCAGGCUAGAGUGCAGGAGAGGAAGGUAGAAUUCCCGGUGUAGCGGUGAAAUGCGUAGAGAUCGGGAGGAAUACCAGUGGCGAAGGCGGCCUUCUGGACUGACACUGACGCUGAGGUGCGAAAGCGUGGGUAGCAAACAGGAUUAGAUACCCCCGUAGU